UACAGAGGGUGCAAGCGUUAAUCGGAUUUACUGGGCGUAAAGCGUGCGCAGGAGGCUCGCUGAGUCGGAUGUGAAAUCCCUGGGCUUAACCCGGGAAUGGCAUUCGAUACUGGCGGGCUCGAGUUCGGUAGAGGGCGGCGGAAUUCCCGGUGUAGCGGUGAAAUGCGUAGAUAUCGGGAGGAACAUCGAUGGCGAAGGCAACCGCCUGGGCCUGAACUGACUCUGAGGCACGAAAGCGUGGGGAGCAAACAGG
rnacentral:rRNA from 1 species